rnacentral:rRNA from 1 species
GACGAACGCUGGCGGCGUGCUUAACACAUGCAAGUCGAACGGGCCUUGUCCCCUUUUUUUUUGGGGGUGGGGUUAGUGGCGAACGGGUGAGUAACACGUGAGUAACCUGCCCCUCACUUCUGGAUAACCGCUUGAAAGGGUGGCUAAUACGGGGUGUUCUGGCCUGCUCGCAUGGGUGGGUUUGGAAAGAUUCGACCGGUUUUGGUUGUUUUGGUGGGGGAUGGGCUCGCGGCCUAUCAGCGUGUUGGUGGGGUGAUGGCCUGCCAAGGCUUUGACGGGUAGCCGGCCUGAGAGGGUGGGCGGUCACACUGGGACUGAGACACGGCCCAGACUCCUACGGGAGGCAGCAGUGGGGAAUAUUGCACAAUGGGCGCAAGCCUGAUGCAGCGACGCCGCGUGAGGGAUGGAGGCCUUCGGGUUGUGAACCUCCUUCGCCAGUGAAGAAGGUCCUGCUCUUUGUGGUGGGGUUGACGGUAGCUGGGUUAAUGAAGCGCCGGCUAACUACGUG